rnacentral:tRNA from 1 species
GCUCAGGUGGCGGAAUUGGUAGACGCGCUAGACUAAGGAUCUAGUGCCGAAAGGCGUGGGGGUUCGAGCCCCCCCUUGAGCACCA